GACGAACGCUGGCGGCGUGCUUAACACAUGCAAGUCGAACGGAAAGGCCCUGCUUGCAGGGUACUCUAGUGGCGAACGGGUGAUUAACACGUGGGUGAUCUGCCCUGCACUUCGGGAUAAGCCUGGGAAACUGGGUCUAAUACCGGAUAGGAGCCAUUUUUAGUGUGAUUGUUGGAAAGUUUUUUCGGUGUAGGAUGAGCUCGCGGCCUAUCAGCUUGUUGGUGGGGUAAUGGCCUACCAAGGCGGCGACGGGUAGCCGGCCUGAGGGGGUGGACGGCCAAAUUGGGACUGGGAUACGGCCCAGACUCCUACGGGAGGCAGCAGGGGGGAAUAUUGCACAAUGGGCGCAAGCCUGAUGCAGCGACGCCGCGUGGGGGAUGACGGCCUUCGGGUUGUAAACUCCUUUCGCUAGGGACGAAGCUUUUUGUGACGGUACCUAGAUAAGAAGCACCGGCUAACUACGUG
rnacentral:rRNA from 1 species